rnacentral:misc_RNA from 1 species
AAAAAACUGUAUUCUUGUUUUUUGCAGAAAAAAGAACUACAGAAGAAAUGCAUAGUCUACAAAAUUUUAUCAACAAAAACAGAAAUCUCAUUUACAAAACAACUUUUCUAGAAAAUUGCAUGCAGGCUACAUAUAUUGAUGUUCAUAUUCAAUUGAAGUUAACAAGAAACAUAAGGAUCAAGAUAGACAAGGGACAGGAAACCCUGUCACCCCAAGAUGACUUCAAAAUUUUCAAAGUAAAUUUACCAAUUUGCUCAUGCCAAAU